UACGUAGGUGGCAAGCGUUGUCCGGAUUUACUGGGCGUAAAGAGCGCGCAGGCGGUCGGAUAAGUCGAAUGUGAAAGCCCCCGGCUCAACUGGGGAGGGUCAUUCGAUACUGUUCGACUCGAAGGCAGGAGAGGGAAGUGGAAUUCCCGGUGUAGUGGUGAAAUGCGUAGAUAUGGGAGGAACACCAGUGGCGAAGGCGACUUCCUGGCCUGUUCUUGACGCUGAGGCGCGAAAAGCUAGGGGGAGCAAACGGG
rnacentral:rRNA from 1 species